rnacentral:rRNA from 1 species
CCUACGGGGGGCAGCAGUGAGGAAUAUUGGUCAAUGGGCGGGAGCCUGAACCAGCCAAGUCGCGUGCAGGAAGAAGGUACUUAGUAUUGUAAACUUCUUUUGUCGGGGGACAAAGGCGGAGACGCGUCUCCGUAUGAGUGUACCCGAAGAAAAAGCAUCGGCUAACUCCGUGCCAGCAGCCGCGGUAAUACGGAGGAUGCGAGCGUUAUCCGGAUUUAUUGGGUUUAAAGGGUGCGCAGGCGGGCGAUCAAGUCAGCGGUAAAAUGUCGGGGCUCAACCCCGGCCGGCAGUUGAAACUGGUCGGAGUGAGUUCACAACAGGCAGGCGGAAUUCGUGGUGUAGCGGUGAUAUGCAUAGAUAUCACGAGGA